rnacentral:lncRNA from 1 species
GAGAGUUAGGGACUGAGAGAAUGCAGUUAUCCUAAAGUUGUGUGGGGUUGAUAUUGUUAACUCUAUUACUGAGGAAAAGAACUUGCUUCUAAUUGACCUAAUAUUAGCAGACUAUGUUUAGUAUGGGGGGAAUGAUGGAUUUAGAAAUGCCUUGUUCAGGAAGUUGAGGGGUUUGCCAGUUGAUUAUUAUUUAAUGCCAAUUGGUUUGUCAUUUCUUCAUCACUGGACAUGCAAAGCAUACCUGAGAGAUUUCCAGAUUUGGGAAAGUUAUGGAAGUAACAGAUGGCUUUUGCCAGAUGGUUUCAUGAUAUGUAAAGUUGAGCUGUUUCUUCGUAAAUUAGUUGACCUUAACAUUUUAGAAAUCUUUAUAUAGGUUCUGUGCAAUUUGAGAAGGAGAUCAAGCAGCUGGGCUUCCUAUAUAUCCAUAAACUGGACAGUCAUUGUUAUCCUGUGUAAAGAUCUUGAAAAUAGUUUUUAAAAGUACUCACCAAGUGUAUUCCCUGCUGUAAGCAUCUUUCAUGUGAGUGGUUGGGAGUGAUGCGCACUAUCUGCCUUGGUUCAAGGCAGACCAGGGGCAUGCCACAGUUGGUUCACAUGUAAGUGAGGAGCAAUAAGGAAGCCGAUAGAAUCUAGUAAAAGACUGAUUGGUGCUGCUUAAAAUUUAUUAUUUCAGGAACCAUUCAAUGACAGAUUUUACAAGAAAGUCCUAUUUUCUGAUCUGUCUUGAAGCUCCAUGUAGAAGGAAAUCUCCCAUCAUCCCUCACACGAAUCCCUUCAACCAAUCAUCUGCUGGUUCUCUUCAUGGUAAUUCAAGUCCUUUCUUUGUAUCUUCUGGCUUCUCCACACUGUUGCUGCCUUCAGAUCCACCCAGAGAUAGGACAGAGUCACCCAGGCUCAGCUAAGAUCCUGCUGUUGUGUUUAACUACACUUUACGACACAUGAUGGACGCAGAAAGGAAUGACAACGGAUGAAGAACAAGCAAAGAACAGGAGACUUCUUAGGACUUCUUCUAAAGUGUGCUGGCCACAUCCUUCUAUGGGGGUAGCUGGGAUGUGGCCACAGGGACAGAAUCGGGUGGGCAGGGGAGGCAACAUGGUAGACAAACACAGUGCAGAGAGCACUCGGCACCCUUGAACGAAAGUGCCUUUGGUCUUGAGCUUCCUGCCUGGAGUUCAGUCGCCCCAAAGUCUUCCGAGUCCAGCAAGAGACAGAUCUAGUUUCUCUCAUCUGCCACUCCUCACCUCCAGCUCAGAGCUAGCCUCCAGGAAACAUAAUCCUCUUCAGAGAUGUAGUAGGGUUUGGAAUGCAGACGACCUUUUUCAUUGUUAUGUGGAACUGCUUGCUUCCUCACUAUUUUGAAUGUCCCAUUGUAGAAUAAUAUUCUUUUUGGCUGUAUCAUUACCACCAGUGGAUUACCACCACUUUAUCAAAAUCCACCAGGGUACCUUGUUCCUCCUAAAUCAAAAGCAAUCUGACAUGUGGUUCAAGUUAAGCUUCCAUUUGGAGAACUUGAUAAAAUGUUCACAGUUCUAAAAUAGUGGUGUUUCUUGGCUCUCUGCUCCCAAUCACCUCUGAGUACCCUAUCGAGGUUUUUUUCUUUGUUUG